rnacentral:rRNA from 1 species
UCUCCCUACGGGGGGCAGCAGUGGGGGAUAUUGCACAAUGGGGGGAACCCUGAUGCAGCGACGCCGCGUGGGUGAAGGAGCGUUUCGGCGCGUAAAGCCCUAUCGGCAGGGGAGAAGAUGACGGUACCUGACCAAGAAGCCCCGGCUAACUACGUGCCAGCAGCCGCGGUAAUACGUUGGGGGCAAGCGUUAUCCGGAUUUACUGGGUGUAGAGGGGGCGCAGACGGCAAUGCAAGCCCGGAGUGAAAGCCCGGGGCCCACCCCC